GGAGUAAGCAUGACUUCUUCAUUAACCUACUGAGAUGUUCCCUUAUUGAAGAUUUCACAGAUCGUCCAAAGCUAAUUAAUCUUCUGCAUGUCGAUGCAGCGACUCAUGAUGACUCGUGUGGAUGGAUGUCCUCCAGCAGAGACUGAGACGGGGCCAGCAGAGCAGAUUUGUGAAGUGACAGGAACAUUGAAUUUAUGAGUCCAGCAGGAGAAAAGAUGAUGAUUAUUGGGAAACUGACCUCCGUCUCACCAUCAUCCCUCCAACGUUAAGUGUUUAAUCGACAUUGCUCUUCAUCAGCGUCUUUGUCAGUUUUGCCUUUGUCGUCUUCUUGUGUCUACAUCCUUGCUCUGCUCCUGCUCCUUUCCAUGGUAUUUAGUUUAUUCCCAACAUAAAUAUUUAAAUCUUCAAGUGGCACAAAAAGGGUUUUAUUUUUUCGGGGACACACCUUAGCAUUUUUGGCACAAGGCAUCUGUUGCUCUGCAUGUUAAGGCGUUCACACGCAACCAAAAACACUCACUGUAAACACACACUCAUAGGUGUCUGUGCACUGAGGUACAACCCUGGUAAGAGUUCACACACACACACACACUCUGUGCAACACAGCAUUAAUGGCACAACAAGGGCCCCUUUAAGGUCAUGUACUAUGAAAUGAGCUUUUGCAGAGUUGCACCGAUGUAAUAAAACAGCUUACAUCAGAUCAGACUUGAUAACCUUAACAGCUUUUACAAACCAUAAUGAUGUUGAUAAUUAAGAUGAAAUUGGGUAUUAUGGUUUUAGUCUGAAAUGUCUCCUGAAUGCACUUGUAUUAGUUUGCAUAUCUGUAGUGUAUUUUACUGGUGAGAUGAUCAAUAAAUCAGCAUGAAGCAUAAAUUAUAUAUUUGUAAAUGUGUGGAGGGGAUGUAGCAGAGGAGUGUGUCUUAUUGUAUCUGUUCAGUGGAGCAGCUGUGAUGUGAGGUAAGGUGUAAGAAGAAAAGCCUGUUUUCCUUUUUUUUUUCUUCCAUGAAGUGAUUCUGAGCUGUCAGUCACACAGGAGAGUUUUUACAGGAACUAUGCCAGCAUCUUACACCUCUUACUGUUUUAAUGAAUAUUUGUUUUCUCAGCAGUGCGUUUAACCUGUUUUUCUUUUCCCGUGAAGGUUUAUGAACUUUCUUGAGAAAAUACAAGCUCUUGUUUUUGCCAGUCUCUGUGCAGCAGCUUUGGAAAUUUGCAUGUACUCACAUGCUUUAUAGUUAGUCAUGUGUGCAGUCAUUUAGGUGUUAGCGCUGUGGGAUUCUUCCUCCUCUCAUUCCCAAAUCUCAGACCUCUGCAACCUGUCAAGUGACACCAGAACACAGCAUGACUUAGACUAUCAAAGGCAAACUUCAGAUUGUGUAAAGGGAGGUUUUUCAGACUAGGUAUGAGUUGUAAUCAUCCCACCUGCAUCAGACAGAAUCUUUACAGAAUCGGGUAUAAAGUUUCUUGGAGAAGUCAAGCAGAUGGUGCAUUUCUUAUUUAAAGACAUUUAAUAAAUAAAGACUUUAUUGUGUAUCUGA